rnacentral:rRNA from 1 species
CAAUAGCGUAUAUUAAAGUUGUUGCAGUUAAAAAGCUCGUAGUUGGAUUUCGGGGUGGCCUGGCUGGUCCGCCGCAAGGUGAGUACUGGUCAGCCGCCCUUCCUCUCGAAAGCCCCGACUGCUCUUUACUGCAGUGGUCGGGUAGUUCGGGACGUUUACUUUGAAAAAAUUAGAGUGUUCAAGGCAGGCUAUCGCCUGAAUACAUUAGCAUGGAAUAAUGGAAGAGGACCUCGGUCCUAUUUCGUUGGUUUCUAGGGCCGAAGUAAUGAUUAAGAGGGACAGUUGGGGGCAUUCGUAUUUAAUUGUCAGAGGUGAAAUUCUUGGAUUUAUGAAAGACGAACUAGUGCGAAAGCAUUUGCCAAGGAUGUUUUCAUUAA